ensembl:lncRNA
UUUGGUUACAACAUAUAUGAGAAGGAAGUUUUUUGAAAAUUUUUUGGUUUGUACUUCCUUCUAGCUUGAUGCUUGACUCAGUCUGAAAGUACCUGUUGGGGAGUGAUGAGAACUGUGUAAUAAUUAAAAGUCUGAAAUUGUCCAAGGAGCUGGAUCAGAGAUGCCACAGAGCUGAAGAAUGUGGACAUUAUGGCAGACAACACUGAUGUUAAUGUGACAGAAAACAACAGACAGAGCAAAGACUAUCCUCAAAACUUCAAUGCUGAGAACAGAUCAGAUGACACUGAGGUACUUCAUUCUCCAAAAGCUGAAUGUGUCAUUUCUGAAAAUGCGGUACCAACAACAGAAGACAGUACCUUAUAUGACAAUGAAGUAUUUCAUCCUCCAGGAUCUGAAUGCGUCACAUCGGUGCCAGUAACAGAUGCUAGUAUAUCAGAUGACUCAAGUUUUAAAUGUUGGUGUCCUGAGAUUUUCAGUCCAAACCAGAGACUGAUGACAUGCGGGGCAAGAUGGAGUGAGAGAACAGAUGAUGACGUGUUACCUGAAAGAAAGACCUCCAGAAGCUCUAUCAAUUCAACUGACUCAGGAUAUGCUUCAAGAAAAUGCACUGGCAUUUUCCCCAUCCCCGAAAUUGAUUAAUAGAAUAAACUAAAUAAUGGUGUUACUUCA